rnacentral:lncRNA from 1 species
CCGAGAAAUUCGGCACUCCAGUUAAAUCUUACUUUAGCCCACUGAAUUGCCUUGGUCAGUGAACGAACUUCAAAGCAUUUUCGCAGGCAGUUAACACACGCUAUUGUGAUAUGGCGACAACUAAGAAUAUGCUAGAGAGGGCGCUGUCGACCCGGCGGCCGGCGCAGUUCACCGAUGAUGGUGGCACCGCCGCCGAUGAUGAAGCUAACGAGGAAACGGGGGACGAGUCCAAGACGCGAAAACACAUAUCUAUACCAGUGCGUGUCACGAAUUAUUUGACUCGAACCGGGUAUCUCUGUCCCAUACUGAUUUUUGGGCUUGUUAUCAUCAUUAUCUCGUCUCUUGUAUUUCGCUCCCGAGAUCUGGUCUGCAUCUCAGCAUCCUCUUCCGAUCAUAUCUCGCGGUUGCGAUUCUUCGGGUUUGAUGGUCUUGAAUCGGACUUCGGAUCUCUCGGCGUUCCUUGGUGUAAGUCCCUCGCAAAUUUUUCCUUUGUUGUUGUUUUUUUUUUUUUAUUGGUUUUUGCUGGCUUCGAGCUCAUUCAGAUCUCGGUUUACAUAUUAAUGGUAAAAUUAAAUUCUAGUUAUCUAGUUUGAAAUGGAUAAUUUCUUGCUUUAUGAUGAGUAAAUUUUGCUUUCCAUUUCCUUUUUUUUAAUCGCCAGAGGUAAUAAGAAUGAAUCCGAAUGGUACUGUUAGAAUAUUAUAAUUAUUAUUUACUAGUGUUAUUGUUGCUGCUGCUGCUUUUUUUCCCCUAAAAGAUUGGUGGAUCAGCAUCUUAGCUAUAAUAUGUUGUCUGUUAAUAUAUUCUAGUCUGCAUGCCAAUUUCCUGAAGUUAUAUUCCUCAGUAACCGUUGUAAUAAAAUAGGAAAAAAGAAAUCAUUUCACUCUAGGGAUUACUUAAAAAUGGAUUUGUUUUAUAUUCGGAUUCAUUUGAAAGCAGUUAAUUGGAGUAGAUUUACUCCCCUUUAUGUAAUUGUUGCUUUAUCAAGUGGUAACUUUUAAUUAACUUAAUAGUUGCAGUAUUACUGAUGGUUUUUGUGUUUAUGGUUCGUCAAGGUAUGGAUGUGAAUUAGCUGCCAAUACACACUCUUUUCCAAUGCUAUAAUUAUUUCUAAUUUAUGUAUAAUGGUAUCUAAAUUGUGCCUCUUUUAGAAAUUUGAAUUUUUGUGAGUUUAUGCCAAUUUAAUUGUUAUCCUUGUCAAAAGGCAGAUCGAAACAUGGAAAAACUGUGGAAUGGACAUCCAAGGAUUUGCUUAAAGGUCUUGAGGAGUUUGUGCCAAUAUACGAGACACGGCCAAUUAAGAACAACAUGUAUGGGAUGGGUUUCGACCACAGCUUUGGGCUUUGGUUUAUUACUCGAUGGCUAAAGCCAGACUUGAUGAUCGAAAGUGGUGCUUUCAAGGGGCAUUCUACAUGGGUUUUAAGGCAAGCAAUGCCGGAUACACCAAUUGUGUCACUUUCNCCUCGCCAUCCUGAGAAAUACCUCAAAAAGGGGCCUGCUUAUGUUGACGGAAACUGUACAUACUUUGCUGGAAAGGAUUUUGUGGAUUUUGGAAGCAUGAAUUGGGGUAGAGUGAUGAAGAAACAUAAGAUUAAUGAUCUCAGCCAGGUUCUUGUCUUCUUUGAUGACCAUCAGAACGAACUCAAACGGUAAUUACAGUUUCAGUUCUCAAAAUGUUAAUCCUCCUUCAUUGACUAGUUAGAGCAGUGUUACAAUGCAAUUCGUUAUGCGUCUAGUAAUGCAAUUCAGUUAUUAUGUACAUAGUUUUCAUGACUCUUUCAGCUUGAUUCACUUAUCUAAAUUUCCAAAGGUUCUUUGUCUUGAUUCACACUUUUAUGUGUAGAUUAAAGCAAGCACUUAAAGCUGGGUUCAAGCAUCUCAUAUUUGAGGAUAACUAUGAUACUGGAACUGGGGACCAUUAUUCUUUCCGGCAAAUAUGCGAUCAAUUUUACGUAAGAGGUGUGUGUUUUCUUUCAUUUCAAAACUCGUUGUAGUGGACCAUAGAUGUGCCCUGUUUUUAAUUCAUUAUUAUUUUAAAACCAUGGUUAUAUGGAGACGGAGAAAAUUGGUCCGGUUGAUUUUGACUUGAGGGAGAUUCUGUUUGGGCCAUGGAAGGCACAUCAAAAUCGAGGGACCUACUACCAGCUUUGGGUCUCACAAAGCAAUGUGCCUUCUCAGCACAUGCCUGUUUUUCCUCAUGAAGAAUGUUUCACUAGGCAUUUGUGGAUUAGUUCAGAUGAUUAUAUGAUACUGAGGCUCUGAAAUUUAUCUCAUUUGGCUCAAAUUCAUGAAGCCAUUUUCAGUUAAUGUUUUUGAAAGAUUUGAUUGAACAAUGGUCAUAGGUACUCUAUCCUUUCAUUGUUAAUGUAAUAGUUGCAACCUAAGAAGCACGAGAGCAGACUUUUGCCAACAUGACCUAUUGCCAAAACUUUCAUGAGCUAGGGAGUUGGUCAUAAGUGCAAAUUGUUAAAAUAUUAUCAGAAUAAUACACUAUAGGAAUAAAUGAAUAAUUACCACGGAGAGGGAAGGUUGUAAGCAUCUUUAGCAUAAAUUCGAUUUUCAAUGGAAUGAAAAAGGUACAUACAUUUCAAACUUAAUCUCUUUCUUGGGAACCAAAUGUUCAUGUAAAGUUUUCAAUUCGCAAAUUUCAAGCUUUAGUUUCCACCUAUAAUCACCACACACUGUUGUUUGUUUCUUCUAAAACUUUCAGUUUGUAUUUUUUUUUUUUGGUCGAUACUGAACAAUUAAGAAUGAAAAUGGUGUAAAUUUUGAAAUUGGACAAUAAUUUUGAGACUAAGCAAGAAAAAAAUGAAAAAUGUUAAAUUUAUAUGCAAUGGAGGGAGAAGUUAAUCUACUUAGAAAAGAUAUAAAUUUAAGAAUUAUAUGUGGUAAUUAUAUCCAAGAAAAGCUAAGAAAACUAUGGAUUGAUUGGUUGUUUCAGAAGAACACAUGAGAAGUAGCAAACAAUUUAUUUUUUGAAGAGAAAAGGUAACACAGUUGUUGCAUUCGUGAGAGUGCGUAACCAGUAGCCAAACAGUAGUGGAGAUCAUCAAAGAUGUGCUAUACCUGUUUGACAUUCAAUUUUCUACCUUCUUUGGUAUCUCAAACAGAAGCUUGGGAGAAUAGGUCAGGCAAAGUUCAGGUGUAGAAGAUUGUGAGUAGAUCUGGAGAGAUCCUGAUCUUUAUGGGAGGAUAUGACAAUUGCCUGCUAUCAAGAAGGAUUUCACACUUAAUAUCUAUACAUUGAUGUGCUCUCAUUUAAUAAAUUUUCUUUUACAUCCUUUGAACUCGAGCAUUAUGUUACUGUCUUGUGCAUUCUGCUUUUCACAAUUACUAUAUCAUUUUAUUUGAAAUGUCACCGAGAGUAUCCCUCAACAUGUCCGUACGAUGCUCUUAGGAUGUCUAAAAUUAGCCCCAAAAGUAGAAAUAUUCAGGAAUAAUGUUCUAAAAUCUCAGUCGUGUGAGUUCGUUGAAAAGCAUUUCUGCAAUCAACAAGUAUCAGUGGUGACAGUUAGGUCCUUAGAGUAUUCACGUUUUCUGGAACGCAACAAUAUCUACCCUGAUCAUAAUGUCAUCAGAUUGUUUCAAACUCCUAUGUGGUAUGCAAAUUUAUUGAUGUAUUGAUGGUUAAUGAGAAAAUAAAGAGCCAAGUUUCAUGGCGGGGGUUAUGAAUUUUCGCUGUCGUCAUUUUUUGGAUUGGUCUGAUUAUUCAAUUUGUUCAUCAUAUGUUUUUAUCCAAUCAUACUAGAAUAGUUUUCUGCUUUUAACUGGGUUUAACUUCAUGGGAGUUGUGCGUCCCAUCCAGGUGGUGGCCAUAGCUGCUUCAGAGAUAGUGAUGAAGCUCGGAUAAGAUAUAGAAGGAAGAAAUUCUGGGAGAAAGCAGUCGAUAUAGGAGAGCUAUGUGGGCCAGGAGAAGCAUGGUGGGGUGUUAGAGGUCAAAUGCGGGAUGAUUUUAACCAUAGCAACAAGGCAAUAUCCUACUCGGAGCAUUUUCAGAACAGCAGGUUUUUAGAAUCAGUACUUGACGUUUAUUGGGAGCUACCCCCUGUGGCUGGUCCUUCCCUGACUCACCAGACGAGAUAUGAUCCAGCUCGUGCCCCUAGUCCUGUUGUCGAAGAUGGUAGAUAUGGCUUAUUUCGCAGGCUUGGUUUAUCAACACUCGAUACUUCUGUGUUCAAUGGAUACACUCAAAUGGUAUAUCUUCAGGUAUCUAAACCGGAAUCCUAAUCCCGUUGAACUUAGGCAAAUCUAGUUUUUAAGGUUGCCAGUGCAUGUAUUUUCGGACUUGUCUAUAUACGAUCUUCUCAUAGCUGUGUACCUGUGUUCAUUAGAAACAGUUUUUACUCAUUCUCCCUAUCUAAUUUGAGAGCACUUGUUAGUUAUCACAUAUUUUUCAGUACUUGGGGCGGUGAAUUUAUAUUGUGAGGGAUGAUUGAGCCAUACGGUACGAUAAUUAAAAAAUAAAAAUAAAUAAAAAUUGGUUUAAUUCUACCGAGAAUUGAACUUGCACUUGAGGCAUAUUUGG